GGAGUUAGCCGGUGCUUCUUCUGCGAGUAACGUCACAGAUGUAAGGUAUUAACUUACACCCUUUCCUCCUCGCUGAAAGUGCUUUACAACCCGAAGGCCUUCUUCACACACGCGGCAUGGCUGCAUCAGGGUUUCCCCCAUUGUGCAAUAUUCCCCACUGCUGCCUCCCGUAGGAGUCUGGGCCGUGUCUCAGUCCCAGUGUGGCUGAUCAUCCUCUCAGACCAGCUAGGGAUCGUCGCCUAGGUGAGCCUUUACCUCACCUACUAGCUAAUCCCACCUGGGCUUAUCCAUCAGCGCAAGGCCCGAAGGUCCCCUGCUUUCCCCCGUAGGGCGUAUGCGGUAUUAGCAGUCGUUUCCAACUGUUAUCCCCACAAAUGGGCAAAUUCCCAGGCAUUACUCACCCGUCCGCCGACUCGUCAUCUUCAAAAGCAAGCUUUUGAAAUGUUACCGCUCGACUUGCAUGUGUUAGGCCUGCCGCCAGCGUUCAAUCUGAGCAGANCAACUACUGA
rnacentral:rRNA from 1 species